rnacentral:rRNA from 1 species
ACGAACGCUGGCGGCGUGCCUCAUACAUGCAAGUCGAGCGAAGUUUUUCUGGUGCUUGCACCGGAAAAACUUAGCGGCGAACGGGUGAGUAACACGUAAAGAACCUGCCUCAUAGACUGGGACAACUAUUGGAAACGAUAGCUAAUACCGGAUAAUAGCAUUAACUGCAUGGUUGAUGUUUAAAAGUUGGUUUUGCUAACACUAUGAGAUGGCUUUGCGGUGCAUUAGCUAGUUGGUGGGGUAAAGGCCUACCAAGGCGACGAUGCAUAGCCGACCUGAGAGGGUGAUCGGCCACACUGGGACUGAGACACGGCCCAGACUCCUACGGGAGGCAGCAGUAGGGAAUCUUCCGCAAUGGGCGAAAGCCUGACGGAGCAACGCCGCGUGAGUGAAGAAGGAUUUCGGUUCGUAAAGCUCUGUUGUUAGGGAAGAAUGAUUGUGUAGUAACUAUACACAGUAGAGACGGUACCUAACCAGAAAGCCACGGCUAACUACGUG